rnacentral:lncRNA from 1 species
UCAAUAAUCAUUAUAGGAGAAGGAAUAUUACAAGACACAUCAUUUUGAUCAAGAGGAAUCGAAGGAAGGUCCUUGGCUUCAAAUGGAUCACAAAAUUUUGAAGGUCAAUAAGGAGCUUGAAUAUGGUCUUGUAUAUGGAUAGAAGAAAAAGGGAAGAUCAUUUGUAUCUGUAGCGGGAAAUUCAUGAUCAUCAAGCUAUUGACAA